rnacentral:tRNA from 1 species
GGGAGUAUAGUCCACUGGUAGGGCACCUGCCUAGCGUGCAUGAGGCCCUGGGUUCAAUCCCCAGCACCACCA